GACGAACGCUGGCGGCGUGCUUAACACAUGCAAGUCGAACGGAAAGGCCCUGCUUUUGUGGGGUGCUCGAGUGGCGAACGGGUGAGUAACACGUGAGUAACCUGCCCUUGACUUUGGGAUAACUUCAGGAAACUGGGGCUAAUACCGGAUAGGAGCUCCUGCUGCAUGGUGGGGGUUGGAAAGUUUCGGCGGUUGGGGAUGGACUCGCGGCUUAUCAGCUUGUUGGUGGGGUAGUGGCUUACCAAGGCUUUGACGGGUAGCCGGCCUGAGAGGGUGACCGGCCACAUUGGGACUGAGAUACGGCCCAGACUCCUACGGGAGGCAGCAGGGGGGAAUAUUGCACAAUGGGCGGAAGCCUGAUGCAGCAACGCCGCGUGCGGGAUGACGGCCUUCGGGUUGUAAACCGCUUUCGCCUGUGACGAAGCGUGAGUGACGGGAAUGGGUAAAGAAGCACCGGCGAACUACGU
rnacentral:rRNA from 1 species